CACGUAGUUAGCCGGGGCUUCUUAGUCAGGUACCGUCUGUUUCUUCCCUGCCGAUAGGGCUUUACGCACCGAGGUGCUCCUUCACCCACGCGGCGUCGCUGCAUCAGGGUUCCCCCCAUUGUGCAAUAUUCCCCACUGCUGCCUCCCGCAGGAGCCUGGGCCGUGUCUCAGUCCCAGUGUGGCCGUCCGCCCUCUCAGGCCGGCUACCGAUCGUCGCCUUGGUGGGCCGCUGCCCCGCAACAAGCUAAUCGGACGCGGGCCCAUCGCGCACCGUCCGGGUCGCCCCGGGCUUUCCCCCGCAGGGCCAUGCGGCCCCACGGGACUUAUGCGGUAUUAGCGGCCGUUUCCGGCCGUUGUCCCCCUGUGCGCGGCAGGUUGCCCACGCGUUACUCACCCGUCCGCCACUGGCCGCGCCUUCACUAGGUUUCAGGCGCGGCCCGUUCGACUUGCAUGUGUUAGGCACGCCGCCAGCGUUCACUCCUGAGCCAGGAUCGAAACUCU
rnacentral:rRNA from 1 species